GACGAACGCUGGCGGCGUGCUUAACACAUGCAAGUCGAACGGAAAGGCCCUGCUUUUGUGGGGUGCUCGAGUGGCGAACGGGUGAGUAACACGUGAGUAACCUGCCCUUGACUUUGGGAUAACUUCAGGAAACUGGGGCUAAUACCGGAUAGGAGCUCCUGCUGCAUGGUGGGGGUUGGAAAGUUUCGGCGGUUGGGGAUGGACUCGCGGCUUAUCAGCUUGUUGGUGGGGUAGUGGCUUACCAAGGCUUUGACGGGUAGCCGGCCUGAGAGGGUGACCGGCCACAUUGGGACUGAGAUACGGCCCAGACUCCUACGGGAGGCAGCAGUGGGGAAUAUUGCACAAUGGGCGGAAGCCUGAUGCAGCAACGCCGCGUGCGGGAUGACGGCCUUCGGGUUGUAAACCGCUUUCGCCUGUGACGAAGCGUGAGUGACGGUAAUGGGUAAAGAAGCACCGGCUAACUACGUGCCAGCAGCCGCGGUGAUACGUAGGGUGCGAGCGUUGUCCGGAUUUAUUGGGCGUAAAGGGCUCGUAGGUGGUUGAUCGCGUCGGAAGUGUAAUCUUGGGGCUUAACCCUGAGCGUGCUUUCGAUACGGGUUGACUUGAGGAAGGUAGGGGAGAAUGGAAUUCCUGGUGGAGCGGUGGAAUGCGCAGAUAUCAGGAGGAACACCAGUGGCGAAGGCGGUUCUCUGGGCCCUUCCUGACGCUGAGGAGCGAAAGCGUGGGGAGCGAACGGGCUUAGAUACCCUGGUAGUCCACGCUGUAAACGGUGGGUACUAGGUGUGGGGUCCAUUCCACGGGUUCCGUGCCGUAGCUAACGCUUUAAGUACCCCGCCUGGGGAGUACGGCCGCAAGGCUAAAACUCAAAGGAAUUGACGGGGCCCCGCACAAGCGGCGGAGCAUGCGGAUUAAUUCGAUGCAACGCGUAGAACCUUACCUGGGUUUGACAUGGAUCGGGAGUGCUCAGAGAUGGGUGUGCCUCUUUUGGGGUCGGUUCACAGGUGGUGCAUGCCUGUCGUCAGCUCGUGUCGUGAGAUGUUGGGUUAAGUCCCGCAACGAGCGCAACCCUUGUUCACUGUUGCCAGCACGUUAUGGUGGGGACUCAGUGGAGACCGCCGGGGUCAACUCGGAGGAAGGUGGGGAUGACGUCAAGUCCUCAUGCCCCUUAUGUCCAGGGCUUCACGCAUGCUACAAUGGCUGGUACAGAGAGUGGCGAGCCUGUGAGGGUGAGCGAAUCUCGGAAAGCCGGUCUCAGUUCGGAUUGGGGUCUGCAACUCGACCUCAUGAAGUCGGAGUCGCUAGUAAUCGCAGAUCAGCAACGCUGCGGUGAAAAAGUUCCCGGGGCU
rnacentral:rRNA from 1 species